UCCAGCUUAUCGCUGGCGGUCUCCUGAGAGUUCCCAACUAAAUGAUGGCAACACAGGACAAGGGUAGGUAAGGUUUUUCGCGUUGCAUCGAAUUAAUCCACAUAAUCCACCGCUUGUGCGGGUCCCCGUCAAUUCCUUUGAGUUUUAACCUUGCGGCCGUACUCCCCAGGCGGUCGACUUCACGCGUUAGCUUCGUUACUGAGAGUGUCAAACCCCCAACAACCAGUCGACAUCGUUUAGGGCGUGGACUAC
rnacentral:misc_RNA from 1 species